GCAGAGGGCCUGGGGCCUGGGGCGGGUGAGGACAUAUGGACAAUGUGGGCACCACACCUGCCCCUACACUGCCACCCAGGCACACCCAGACACAGGGGACUUCCUUUAGGAACCCCCCAAACUCAUGCCACCCUAGAGUGGGGGCUUGGAGACCCUGAGAUUCCUGAGAAAAGUGAAGCCCCAUUGGACCUCCCUAGACAGCUCUCUCUGCCCUCGUUUAAGCUGCCGACUGGCCCCCGCUCCACAGAAGGUGCCACCCACCUGCCUGCCACUCCCAUCCACUCCCAUGAGACGGAGCUCCCGCCUCAGCCAGCCCAUCAAGACCAGUGUCUGGGCCCACGCUUUGGGGCCAGUUUCUCCAGGGAACCCUGCUCAAAGCAUUGACAGAGUAAGAGAACGGUAUCGAAGAAUAAGCUUUACCUUACUUACGUAAUCUCUCACCUCGAAGGCAGGGAGUUUGGCAGGUGAAGAAACUGAGGGCUGCGGGGGGUGGGGCUUCCUGGGUCACAGUUAGCAGGUGGGAAUCGGGGCUUGAAACCGGGACCCUGCACACAGGCCUCAGGCUGGACGGCACCCAGCAUGUGGGUGAAGAAGCUCCAUGGUCUGGAGGCGAAAGCACAGGCCGGAGCCCCAGCAGCCUCCCCUCCCUCCUCUGUGUGCAGGCUGCGUCUGCCUCGCAGGGUCCCGUCUUAUGGGACGGUGGUGAGGAGGUGACAGGGCUACAGAGACACAUGGUCAGGAUGCGUUAUCGAUAUUAUUAUUCUUGCCACUAUUAUUGUGCCCGCCAUGGCAAACGUGACUUUGCAUGCCUCAGGUGCCAAGCCCGAGACCUCGUGAGACACCAGCAGAGACUGCCCCACCCAGCAGGUGACAAGUCUCUCACAGCACCCCAGGAAGCCGCCCUCUGGCCUCUGACGUCCGUCCUCUCCGGGGGCCUCUCCUUCCUUGUGGUUCCGUGUUAAAAAAUCUCCCUCUGUCUUCCCCCUGACCCUCUGACCACAAUGGCCUGGGCUCCCUGUCCCUCUGUGUGCAUGGUGACUUUUGCUGAAAAGCAAACAUCACUGGGGCGCCCAGCCUCGUGGUUUCAGGCUGUGCGGUUUACCUCAUGACGUCAUUUUCCUUCCUCCAGAUAAACCAGAAGAGACUUUACUGCUCAGCUGGUCCUGGGGAAAUGGUGCCUGCCCUGACUCGUGGAAGGUUCAGGGUGGGCAUCUGGGCCGUAGCCAGGGCCGAGAAGAGGUCCCCAGGCUUAGCCAAGGCUCACAGUGACCUGUGUCUAAAGGAACGUUUCUGGCUCCUACUUUGUUAGCAUAGACUCAGACAGCCCAGGGGCUGGGGCUCCCAAGGUGCAGAGGAAGGGUAGGGGGCCACAGCAGCCAGAGGCUUGUCCUGAAGCCCCUGACUGCCACCCCCAGCCACCAGAAAGGGUGGACCUUCUGGACCUUUGUGGCAGACCACCAGGCCCUGAGCCACCACCCACACAGGGAAGGAAGACAGUGGCAGCCCAGCCUGGAGAAACCGCCCCGUCCCCAGACCGGGUUGUCCCUUCUCCACGUCUCCUGUGCUGCCAGCCAGGUAGGGGACAGGGUUUCCCAGGGGCAGGCACAGGGGAAGGGGCCACCACCUCUCCUGAAUGCCCACCCCUGCCCAAGCUCUGUGCUUUAUGGUCUCUUUGACUGUCCUCACAGCCCUUUGAAGUCAAUCUUUUAUAGACUACUCUGUUUCCAGAUGACAGGCCCAAGUCUCAGAGAGGUUUGGGACUCGCCUAAGAUUGCAGCUAGCAAUGGGCCUGGCACGCAGUUGGUACUCGGGAAUGUUUGUUUCCCAGAAAGGAAGGGAGAUGCUACCUUUCCUCCGAGAAGCAACCAGAAGUCUCCAGGCUUGCAAGACAGUUUCCCUCCUGAGGACAGCUGGAGCCGUGACAACGUGGGGCCCUGACUGGGCUGCGCCUCCUCUCUGAGGUGGCUGAUGCAUUCUGCUCCCUCGGGAGCUUGGAUAUCAGGCUGCGGUCUGGGGUCUGGAGUGGCCACAGCAACACAGAGUCAUCUCUGUUCAGAUCUGGCCACUGCUGGGGAAAGCCCUGGCCCUUCUACCUUCCCUGUGGGGUCCCCUUUCCUUCCACCUGCACCAGGUUCUCAUGGGCUCUCUACCCAUGCCCAGCAGGCUCCCUCUGCAGGGCACUGGGGCGGGGUCGGGGUCGGCGGGGCGGGGGAGUAGGAGUGGGCGGGAGGGCAGAGAAGACUGAGACAGAAGACAUGUUCCUGUCUUCAGAAAAUCAACGCUCUUUUCAGGACUCACCAUAGGAACGAUGACCACUGCCACCAUCACCACGGUGCGGAAUAAUCACUGCACAUCCUGAGCCCCAGCCUAAGCAGGUCCCACAGAUGUCUCAUUUUAAUCCUCUUCCACUUUAAUCCUUGUUAAAAAACAACCUGUGAGGUGGGUGCGGUGGCUCACGCCUGUAAUCUCAGCACUUUGGGAGGCCAAGGCAGGUGGAUCACUUGAGGUCAGGAGUUCGAAACCAGCCUGGCCCACAUGGUGAAACCCUGUCUCUACUAAAAAUACAAAAAUUAGCUGGGUGUGGUGGUGGGCGCCUGUAAUCCCAACUACUCUGGAAGAUGAGGCAGGAGAAUCACUUGAACCUGGAAGGCAGAGGUUGCAGUGAGCCGAGAUCACACCAAGAGCAAAACUCUGUCUCAAAAAAAAAAAAAAAAAAAAAAAGCUGGGCACGGUGGCUCACUCUGUAAUCCCAGCACUUUGAGAGGCCGAGUCAGUUGGAUCACAAGGUCAGGAGAUCGAGACCAUCCUGGCCAACAUGGUGAAACUCUAUCUCUACUCAAUUACAAAAAAUUAGCCGGGCAUGGUGGCAGGUGCCUGUAAUCCCAGCUACUUGGGAGGCUGAGGCAGGGGAAUUGAUUGAACCUGGGAGGCGGAGGUUGCAGUGAGCCAAGAUCGCGCCACUGCACUCCAGCCUGGGUGACAGAGUGAGACUCCAUCUCA
rnacentral:lncRNA from 10 species